rnacentral:rRNA from 1 species
UACGAAGGGGGCUAGCGUUGCUCGGAAUCACUGGGCGUAAAGGGUGCGUAGGCGGGUCUUUAAGUCAGGGGUGAAAUCCUGGAGCUCAACUCCAGAACUGCCUUUGAUACUGAGGAUCUUGAGUACGGGAGAGGUGAGUGGAACUGCGAGUGUAGAGGUGAAAUUCGUAGAUAUUCGCAAGAACACCAGUGGCGAAGGCGGCUCACUGGCCCGAUACUGACGCUGAGGCACGAAAGCGUGGGGAGCAACAG